GGCGGUGCUGCUGGCGCUGGGCACGGGGUGCGCGGUGGGUGAGCGGCAGUGCUCCCCUCCUCUCGUGCCGUGCGGGAAGAACGGGGAAGGUUUUGCUCCGAGAGGCAGGAAGAGCUGCCGCAGGCGGGCGCUGAGUGGGCCGGGGGGAUCCCACCGCCCCGCAAAGUCCCGCUGCACAUUCACCGCGCGCCCCGGCGGCAGUGGUGGCUGCUGAUGUUAUCGCCGUCCCCGCUCGGUGACUAAGGCAGCUGGAAGGUACAAGUUAAACAGCGCAGCGCGCCAAGUCACCUGCUGUGUGGGUUUGUCCAAAGCAGUGCCGCGUUAAUUAAGACAGAGGGUUUAAAAUCUAACCUUUGUUUAUUGUGCUUUGGGGCAUAGAAAAUGUAAAUAGGUGUUUUCAAACACUGUGGCUUUUUAUAUUUCCAGUUAUGAUUCUGCACAAAGGGAAGUUUGUCAGGCUUGGCAUGGGCUCGCCCUUUACCAACACUAUCCUGCAGCUCGUGCUCCCCUUGGGGCCGUCUGCGCUGCCCCGCUCCGCUCCCUGCAGCCUUCUGAGUGGGACAUCCCAGCUCUGUGGGGCUGCUCCCCGUCCCCCGCUCACGGCCCAGCCACGCUCAUCGAGAGGAUCCCGCUGCUGCUCCCCAUCCCCUCCCCUUACAACUUAGUAGGGAUGUGCUGAAUGUUCUGCUCACUUCUGUUCCUGAAGGUGCUUUAUGCCCUCUCGGUUUACUGUAAAAAUAACCAAAAGGAGUUUGGCCUCCUCCGUACUGAUCAGGAUUUCUUCGAUGACUCAGUGAUACGCUCGGGUGGUUCCCUUCGCCUUUAAUUGAAGUGAGUGUGAGCCCUCCACGAAGAGCCCUCUCGCAAAGCCCCGUUAAUAAGCGUUAACAAAAAUAACCGAGCAGCCGGGAGAAAAGUGCCGCCAGCAGCAGCGAUUUCCCUCUCUGUAAGGGUGGGGUUCCUCUCUCAGCUCUCUGCGGCAGAUCGGAGUGCAGGGCAGGAGAUGACAGCUGCCCGGUGCCCCAUUUGGGCACAGCAUCCCAAACAGGAGCUGCCCGGGGUGGGCUGCGGGGACGCCCAAUACCACCGCCCAGUGCAGUCCUUCAUUUGUUGGAUGCAGCACUGGGGUCCCUGCCGCGUCCCCUGUGAGCCAGCACACCGCUGCAGCAGCGAACCCAGCCUGCCCAGCGUGCUGCCCGGACCGUCCUUUGCGCUAUCGAUCAUCCGACGCCCAGCAGAGUGAAAGCAGCGCCCAGCUCCCCGCUGAGGGGGGCAGGAGCACGGGACGCAUCACUGAGGUGAACCAGACGGAGCCCCCACGCUGAGCUCGGGCUCCGUGGAAACCGACGGUGACAAACAUCGGUGCGCGUCUGUGCAUAGCGAUGGGGCAGACGCUCACACGGCCAGGGGCUGAGCGCGGCGCCGCGGGGCUGGGCCUGGGAACGGCCGAGAGGAGCUGCGGGCAGAAAGGGAAAGCGCCGUCCUCAGCCCGGGCUCCCCGUGUCCCGGCUCCCAGACGCAGCCCCGUCCCUGCAGGCAGCGCCGCGGCUCCGAACCCUCACACGGCCGCGUCGGACCCACACGUGCGCGCUCCCGGCAGCGCCGUGGGGCAGCGGCCCCCCCCCCGGAGCGCGGCUCGGCCCCAAUCCCGCCGCUCUCGGGGCUGCGCUUGAUGUGUGUAAACACAUAAUUAAGGCUCUCGCCUCGGCUUCCCCAGCCCGGGACCGGCCCAUUGCCAGCCCCGCGGGGGGGGGCGGCCCGCCCGCCGCGCCGCCCCGGCCCCGCCGCCCG
ensembl:lncRNA